rnacentral:rRNA from 1 species
UACGUAGGUGGCAAGCGUUGUCCGGAUUUACUGGGCGUAAAGGGCUCGUAGGUGGCCAACUAAGUCGGACGUGAAAUCCCUCGGCUUAACCGGGGGAACUGCGUCCGAUACUGGAUGGCUUGGAUCCGGGAGAGGGAUGCGGAAUUCCAGGUGUAGCGGUGAAAUGCGUAGAUAUCUGGAGGAACACCGGUGGCGAAGGCGGCAUCCUGGACCGGUAUUGACGCUGAGGAGCGAAAGCCAGGGGAGCAAAGCGGG